UACAAAUAUCAUUCCAUUAGGUUUGACCAUGUGUUGUCCAGUACUAACAGCUCUCAAUGAAUGAGAUUACAUUAGUUAUUAGUCCAGAUACUUAGCCGAUUUGCUAGUAUGGCUGAGACAUAAUUAUUCACUACUUCACUUCCUUUUCCAGGGUACACAGGAAGACUACAUUUCUUGACUUGACCUUCCUUGCAGUUGGCAGAUAGGAGCAAAAAUCCACUGCCACCGGCUCCAUAUCAGCUGACACAAUGGCAGGUACUUACCGAAUACAGGUUCACGGAACCAAUCAGUUUGCCUUUCUUCUCUUCCUUCACAGUGGCCCAACAUGAAGAAUAAAAAUAUAAAUAAAUGGGGGUAGUAUUUCAUCCAGGACACACAGCAUUUGAAGAGCAGUGGGAUAGGAACUCCCCCACCCUACCGUGUGGGGCAUAGGUUUGGGAAAUUAGCAGGGACUUGGACAUUCCUAGUCAGCCAUCAGAACCUGUCCAAAUCCAAAAGAUCUGGGAGUUAUUUCUCUGUCCUCCUUCACAAUCAAUAAAUUACUAAAUGCUGAUGACUGCAUCCCUCUUUACUUGUGCCCUGUCCUCUCCAUCCUUGCCGUGGCUGCUGCUGCCGCCGCCGCCUUAGUUCAGGGUUUUUCUCUCACCCUAUAAGAAGGAAGAGGCACUUUUUCAUUGCCUA
rnacentral:lncRNA from 1 species